AUUAUAUUGGCAGAUUAGUGCUUUGAAUUUAGAAUUCAAAUAUGUAAAAAUUACAUAUAAUA
rnacentral:tRNA from 1 species